GCGGGUAUAGUUUAGUGGUAGAACGACUGGUUGCCAAUCAGUAAAUGGGAGUUCGAUUCUCCCUACCCGCACUA
rnacentral:tRNA from 1 species